UGCAAGUCGAACGAUGAAGCCCUUCGGGGUGGAUUAGUGGCGAACGGGUGAGUAACACGUGGGCAAUCUGCCCUUCACUCUGGGACAAGCCCUGGAAACGGGGUCUAAUACCGGAUAACACUCCUUCCUGCAUGGGGAGGGGUUAAAAGCUCCGGCGGUGAAGGAUGAGCCCGCGGCCUAUCAGCUUGUUGGUGGGGUAAUGGCCUACCAAGGCGACGACGGGUAGCCGGCCUGAGAGGGCGACCGGCCACACUGGGACUGAGACACGGCCCAGACUCCUACGGGAGGCAGCAGUGGGGAAUAUUGCACAAUGGGCGAAAGCCUGAUGCAGCGACGCCGCGUGAGGGAUGACGGCCUUCGGGUUGUAAACCUCUUUCAGCAGGGAAGAAGCGAAAGUGACGGUACCUGCAGAAGAAGCGCCGGCUAACUACGUGCCAGCAGCCGCGGUAAUACGUAGGGCGCAAGCGUUGUCCGGAAUUAUUGGGCGUAAAGAGCUCGUAGGCGGCUUGUCACGUCGGAUGUGAAAGCCCGGGGCUUAACCCCGGGUCUGCAUUCGAUACGGGCAGGCUAGAGUGUGGUAGGGGAGAUCGGAAUUCCUGGUGUAGCGGUGAAAUGCGCAGAUAUCAGGAGGAACACCGGUGGCGAAGGCGGAUCUCUGGGCCAUUACUGACGCUGAGGAGCGAAAGCGUGGGGAGCGAACAGGAUUAGAUACCCUGGUAGUCCACGCCGUAAACGUUGGGAACUAGGUGUUGGCGACAUUCCACGUCGUCGGUGCCGCAGCUAACGCAUUA
rnacentral:rRNA from 2 species